rnacentral:rRNA from 1 species
AUGAAUCAUCUUUUUUCUUAUUUUCCAAGGAUUAAAAACUGGGCUCUUGGGCAUAGGCCCCCGGCUGCAGCCAGAGUUGCCCGAGGUGUAAAUCGGGCUCUGAGCAGUAGCAUGGAGAACACGGCACAACGCUCAGGCAACGAGCCAAGUGAGCUACCGUACGAGUUGAUAAAACUGAUUACAAAGGAUUUCAGCGAGGAGCUUGGGCGUGGUACAUUCGGAAUAGUUUAUAAGGGCGUGUAUGCAGAUGGUGCAGAGAUUGCCGUGAAGGUAUUACGCAACAUUUCUGGAGGACUGGAUGAUGUGGAAUUUCAGAAAGAAUUUGACAAUCUUAGGGGGCUCAAGCAUCCAAAUAUUGUAGAGCUAGUGGCGUUCUGCAAUGAAAUAGUGGAAGAACCUGCAGAGUUUCAAGGACAACAAAUUACUGCCGGACGUGUGCGUACCGCACUCUGCUUCGAGUAUGUACACAAUGGUGGCCUAAACAAGUUUAUUAGUGAUCAAUACACAGGACUUGGCUGGCCUGAGCGCUACAAAAUAAUCAGAGGUGUUUGUGAGGGUCUAGCAUAUCUUCGCUUGGAAAUAGAGAAUCCAAUAAUGCAUCUCGACUUGAAACCUGAGAAUAUAUUGCUAAAUAAGAAUAUGGAAGCGAAAAUCGCAGAUUUUGGAAUAUCAAAGCUCUUCGGUGAAGAGAACACAAAAAAGACAAUGAGUGUCAUAGGUACAAUGGGAUAUUGGCCACCAGAAUACAUAAAGCAUCAAAUUAUAUCAAAAGAGUUUGACAUAUUUAGUUUGGGUGUAAUCAUUGUAAAAAUAAUGGUCGGACAGAACUACAAUUCUAUUGUCGAGAUGACAGCCCGGAAAUCUAUCAAGCUUGUACAUGAAAGUUGGAAAGAUAGGCUAAGUGCAACGAUACCGAGUCACAAACUUGAAGCAUAUUGCAAUCAGGUGAAAAGAUGCAUUGAGAUAGCACUAGAUUGCUUGAAGUCAAACCGACAAGAAAGGCCUACUAUAAAACAUAUUGUUGCUUGUUUGAAAGAGACGGACACAAUGUUCUAUGAAGAUGAUGGAGAUUCAUCCACUCUUUCUUCAGAUAUCAACAAUAUCACCACACCUUCUUCAGAAACCAGCUUCAUCCCGCAAUCAGAAAAUGGGCCAGACUUGGAGCUGCUUGAUUCAGAACACACGGAGCUGCUUCACGUCCAACCCCGGGAGCUCUGCUUCCCAUUCAUGUCGUCGUUGGAAGUACUACCAAGAAAGAAGGCCAUGAUCUCCUGCUCGCUGCAACUAAACAACAAGGAAAACGACCGCGUCGCAUUCAUGCUUGUGGCCAAGACUCCGAAGAAGUACUUGACAAGGAAGCCGCUCUGCGGCAUUGUACCUCCAAGGUGCAUCUACACUCUCAGUCUCACAAUGCCCAAGCAGCCACCAGUGACAUCGUCAUCAGACAGCGGCGGCGACUACUUUACACUGUACACCACCUUAGUGAGCCAAUACGACCCCCGCGAUCACGACAAAGAUUCCGUCUCCGUCAAGUACCACAAGCUCUUUGAGAAGGCCAAGCAGGCCGGCGAAGAGGUGCACGAGCUGACGCUGAGGGCUAUUUGUGAUCAACCAGCUCAAGGGGCGUCGUCGUCUGAUCAGAUCAUAAUUGUGCCUGAUGCUCAGCAAGUUUCGUCCAUAGAUGUGCAUCCGACGGAGCCAUGGAUUUUGACGACAAAUCACGUAGGGAUCAUUCGUGUUUGGAACUACCACACAAUGGAAACGCUGGACUCCUUUAAAUUAGUGAUAUAUGAACCAGUUUGUGCGGCAAAAUUUAUAGCAAGGGAGAAAUGGAUCAUCACGGGUGAUGGUAAUGGGGUGAUCCAUGUGUACAGUUACGACCAAAACCAACAUGACAAGACCUUGGAUGCUCAAGAUAGUUGCAUCACAACUUUGGUUGUGCAUCCAACGCAACCUUUUGUGCUGUCAUUAUCUGAUGAUGAAGAUGACCCAUUGAUCAAGCUUUGGGACUGGGACAGGGGCUGGGAAUGUACUCGAGAAUUUCGGGGACACACUAACAAAGUGAUGCAAGUAACGUUUAACCCAGAGAACAAGGACUGUUUUGCUAGUGCUUCCUGUGAUGGCACGGUCAAGAUCUGGAGCAUCUGUUCCGAUAAGAUCACCACACUGAAAUUGGGUGGUCAAAGCCUGCUCUGUGUUGAUUACUUUACACGCCGUAAUCAACGAUAUCUGAUCGUGGGCUGUCAAGACAAGACCGCACAGAUCUGGAAAUUGGAGAUGAAUGGAUGUUUUGACAAGCUAGAAGGGCAUGCAGGCCAUAUCAGUGCCGUCAGUUUGCACCCGGAGCAUCGAUUGUUACUUACAGGUUCACUUGACGGAACCGUACGCGUAUGGAACUCCAUUACCUACAAGCUUGAGAACAUAAUUGGUUUCAACCUCGGUGCAGUUUAUGCUUUUGGAUGCAUAAAGGGCUCAAGGAUGGUGGUUGGGUGUCAUGAAGGAAUAGCAAUGGUGAAAAUUUCUUUGCCUUCAGCAUCAAGGUGUUAG